AACGCGAAGAACCUUACCCAGUCUUGACAUAUAGUGGACAGUUCCAGAAAUGGAAUCUUCCUUCGGGACCGCUAUACAGGUGCUGCAUGGCUGUCGUCAGCUCGUGCCGUGAGGUGUUGGGUUAAGUCCCGCAACGAGCGCAACCCUUAUCAUUAGUUGCCAACACGUAAUGGUGGGAACUCUAAUGAGACUGCCUGGGUUAACCAGGAGGAAGGUGAGGAUGACGUCAAGUCCGCAUGGCCCUUAUGACUGGGGCUACACACGUGCUACAAUGGUCGGUACAGAGAGCAGCGAAAUCGUGAGAUGAAGCAAAUCUCCCAAAGCCGAUCUCAGUUCAGAUUGUAGUCUGCAACUCGACUACAUGAAGACGGAAUUGCUAGUAAUGGCGAGUCAGCAACAUCGCCGUGAAUACGUUCCCGGGCCUUGUACACACCGACGCGUA
rnacentral:rRNA from 1 species